AUGAACGCUAGCGACAGGCUUAACACAUACAAGUCGAGGGGUAACAGGGUAGCAAUACCGCUGACGACCGGCGCACGGGUGAGUAACGCGUAUGCAACCUGCCUAUAACUGGGGAAUAGCUCCCUGAAAGGGGAAUUAACACCGCAUAACACUAUUGAUUCGCAUGGAUUGGUAGUUAAAUGUAGCGAUACAGGUUAUAGAUGGGCAUGCGUGACAUUAGCUAGUUGGUGAGGUAACGGCUCACCAAGGCUACGAUGUCUAGGGGUUCUGAGAGGAAGGUCCCCCCACACUGGUACUGAGACACGGACCAGACUCCUACGGGAGGCAGCAGUGAGGAAUAUUGGUCAAUGGGCGCAAGCCUGAACCAGCCAUGUCGCGUGCAGGAAGAACCUGCCCUAUGGGUUGUAAACUGCUUUUAUAGUAGAAGAAACACAUCUACGUGUAGAUGUCUGCCAGUAUACUAUGAAUAAGCAUCGGCUAACUCCGUGCCAGCCGCCGC
rnacentral:rRNA from 1 species